CAUGCAAGUCGAACGGUGAACAUGGAGCUUGCUCUGUGGGAUCAGUGGCGAACGGGUGAGUAACACGUGAGCAACCUGCCCCGGACUCUGGGAUAAGCGCUGGAAACGGCGUCUAAUACUGGAUAUGAGCUGCGACCGCAUGGUCAGCAGUUGGAAAGAUUUUUUGGUCUGGGAUGGGCUCGCGGCCUAUCAGCUUGUUGGUGAGGUAAUGGCUCACCAAGGCGUCGACGGGUAGCCGGCCUGAGAGGGUGACCGGCCACACUGGGACUGAGACACGGCCCAGACUCCUACGGGAGGCAGCAGUGGGGAAUAUUGCACAAUGGGCGGAAGCCUGAUGCAGCAACGCCGCGUGAGGGAUGACGGCCUUCGGGUUGUAAACCUCUUUUAGCAAGGAAGAAGCGAAAGUGACGGUACUUGCAGAAAAAGCGCCGGCUAACUACGUGCCAGCAGCCGCGGUAAUACGUAGGGCGCAAGCGUUAUCCGGAAUUAUUGGGCGUAAAGAGCUCGUAGGCGGUCUGUCGCGUCUGCUGUGAAAACCCGAGGCUCAACCUCGGGCCUGCAGUGGGUACGGGCAGACUAGAGUGCGGUAGGGGAGAUUGGAAUUCCUGGUGUAGCGGUGGAAUGCGCAGAUAUCAGGAGGAACACCGAUGGCGAAGGCAGAUCUCUGGGCCGUAACUGACGCUGAGGAGCGAAAGGGUGGGGAGCAAACAGGCUUAGAUACCCUGGUAGUCCACCCCGUAAACGUUGGGAACUAGUUGUGGGGUCCAUUCCACGGAUUCCGUGACGCAGCUAACGCAUUAAGUUCCCCGCCUGGGGAGUACGGCCGCAAGGCUAAAACUCAAAGGAAUUGACGGGGACCCGCACAAGCGGCGGAGCAUGCGGAUUAAUUCGAUGCAACGCGAAGAACCUUACCAAGGCUUGACAUACACGAGAACGCUGCAGAAAUGUAGAACUCUUUGGACACUCGUGAACAGGUGGUGCAUGGUUGUCGUCAGCUCGUGUCGUGAGAUGUUGGGUUAAGUCCCGCAACGAGCGCAACCCUCGUUCUAUGUUGCCAGCACGUAAUGGUGGGAACUCAUGGGAUACUGCCGGGUCACUCGGAGGAAGGNGGGGAUGACGUCAAUCAUCAUGCCCUUAUGUCUGGGCUUCMNCAUGCUACAUGGCCGGUACAAGGCUGCAUACCGUAAGGGGASSA
rnacentral:rRNA from 1 species